rnacentral:misc_RNA from 1 species
GAAUAACAUUACCACACGCUCUAACCCCACUCCGAACCCGCCAUGUGGAGGUGCACCAUACCUCUAAACAGAGCAACCAUAGGAUUAUUUUGUUUGUGUAUAGAAAAAUUCUUUUCCCCGUGCCAUACACCCAAAAACAUAGAAGAAAGCUAAAGCACAACAACAGCAUGAAUAAUGGAGAUGUAAUGCAUAGCCCAAGAGCUGAUAUCACUAGAUCAAGAAUUCUUAGCAUUCAUCAGGUACCAAGAUGGUAGGUAAUUCAAAAUCAAACCUCACCAUUAAAACUCACCAUUUCAUGAUACACAUUCUUGUUUCAGAUUCACUCCGUAUUUAAGUCGCUCCAAUUUACUUUAGCCAUUCAAUGUUUCAUAACAAUUUGAUUUCAUCAUUUUUUUCCCCCGUUGUUAACAAACAUUAACCAAACAUAUUGAGUUAACAGCACCAUUAGUGCUUGUCAUGUCAUUUCUGAAAUGGCUUAUAACAGCACCAUCAUAACAUACAAUCAUAAAUCCAAGCAAGCAACUUCUGCUAGAUGUCAUGGAAUUGUUACAAGAUUGCUACCUGGAGGUACAUAUUGGCCUUCUCCACAUUCGAGCUUAUGUAUAUUUUUAUAUUCCUAUCAAGUGGGGGAUUUGCCAGUGCCACAAUGAAGUGUAUUUGGUGAAAAUAAAAUCAACGACAUACAGAAGCAAGUUAGUGCAACAUGAUGCAAAAUGAGUAGGAGCUAGGAACUGGAUGAACUUUAGCAUGCAUGUUAUGCUUUAUGAUCAAUUCAAAAAAGUAUCAAGCAGAUAAGCACCACUGUAAACAUAGUAAUUGUAGAUUACUAGCUUAUACUUCUAAUUCCAUUGAAAUAAUGACAUUAGAAUUACUUGAAGUUUUAGUGAAUUUCUAUUUCAUUGCGUCAAAUUAGAUUUUUGCAUGCCAAAGCAUGGACAAACAAAAACAAAAUUAAUCUAACAAAGUCCAUUUGGUAGUUUAGCCACUGGAAUACUAAUGUGGACAUCAAGCCCCCUUAUUUUCUCUAAAACUUAUGCUGAAAAAUAAUUCCAAUUGGACAUGCAUAAAGAACUAAUGACAAAUCCAUCCAACCAAUAACAGCUGCAAUAGACAUGAAUCUCUAUGCCUGUAAUUUCUCUUCCCAGUUCCCAUAUCAGCAUGUAUUUCAAAGAAAAGAGAGCCCAGACAUCCAUGUCAGCUUUCUGACAAUAUUGAGUGGCUAAAAGCACUUUAUUAGAAAAAUGGUAUUAGUUUAAGGCACUUAAUUGCCAAAGAUUUAAAGCUUAAGCAAUAAAUAAAAAUUAAAGCAUUUCUAUUCUUUUUGUCACUUAUAAAUUUUAAAAUCAUUUUUAUAUCACCUAUAUCUGUGAACAGCCCACUGAACAAUCAAACUUUUCAAAGAUUUAAUAUUGUGGAAACAAACUGAUUGAUAGGCCUAUCAUCUAACAAGAUGACACAAGCAGCACAACAGAUCUGAGGUAAUUGAGGGAAAAAUAUGGAAAAAAAGAGUACCUGAAAGAAUCAAUGUACGUU